rnacentral:rRNA from 1 species
AGGUGGAACCCCCCCAUGCAGACUGCACAUACUCCAGCACUUAACAAUCUUGGCCAACUCAGAGGACACCCCAACCCCUAGAGGCAUACCUGUUCCCUGUCCGCUCUACCAUCUUAAACAGCUCGCCACACUGCACCGAUCCUAUACUGUGUGAGGCCAAGACAGAUAACCAAGUAGGGUGGGCGGAAAUGGAUGGCCAUAGCUACUAUCUGUAGCGGGUCUGAGAGGAUGAUCCGCCACACUGGGACUGAGACACGGCCCAGACUCCUACGGGAGGCAGCAGUGGGGAAUAUUGGACAAUGGGCGAAAGCCUGAUCCAGCCAUGCCGCGUGUGUGAAGAAGGCCUUUUGGUUGUAAAGCACUUUAAGCGAGGAGGAGGCUACUGAGAUUAAUACUCUUGGAUAGUGGACGUUACUCGCAGAAUAAGCACCGGCUAACUCUGUGCCAGCAGCCGCGGUAAUACAGAGGGUGCGAGCGUUAAUCGGAUUUACUGGGCGUAA